rnacentral:rRNA from 1 species
GAUGAACGCUAGCGGCAGGCUUAAUACAUGCAAGUCGAGGGGCAGCAUGAUUGUAGCAAUACAAUUGAUGGCGACCGGCAAACGGGUGCGGAACACGUACACAACCUCCCAAUAAGUGGGGAAUAGCCCAGAGAAGUUUGGAUUAAUACCCCGUAACAUAACGAUGUGGCAUCACAUUGUUAUUAUAGAUUUUUCGCUUAUUGAUGGGUGUGCGGCUGAUUAGAUAGCUGGCGGGGUAACGGCCAACCAAGUCUACGAUCAGGAGCUGAUGUGAGAGCAUGAUCAGCCACACGGGCACUGAGACACGGGCCCGACUCCUACGGGAGGCAGCAGUAAGGAAUAUUGGACAAUGGACGCAAGUCUGAUCCAGCCAUGCCGCGUGAAGGAUUAAGGUCCUCUGGAUUGUAAACUUCUUUUAUAAGGGACGAAAAAAGGUCUUUCUAGAUCGUCUGACGGUACCUUAUGAAUAAGCACCGGCUAACUCCGUGCCAGCAGCCGCCGUAAUAC